UACGGAGGGUGCAAGCGUUAUCCGGAUUCACUGGGUUUAAAGGGUGCGUAGGUGGGUUUGUAAGUCAGUGGUGAAAUCUCCGAGCUUAACUUGGAAACUGCCAUUGAUACUAUAGAUCUUGAAUUUUCUGGAGGUAAGCGGAAUAUGUCAUGUAGCGGUGAAAUGCUUAGAUAUGACAUAGAACACCAAAUGCGAAGGCAGCUUGCUACAGGAAUAUUGACACUGAGGCACGAAAGCGUGGGGAUCAAACAGG
rnacentral:rRNA from 1 species